rnacentral:tRNA from 1 species
AAGGGAGACCUAAUUCAGGUAGGAGAUGAAAAAAAAGUAGUCCCAACCAAGAAUCAAUCCCAAAAGGUCGGAGCGAGGCGAAAUUGGCUUUCAAACUAGGUUCUGGGUUCACACAAGACCUGAAUCAGGAACAAGGGCUAUUAGCUCAGGUGGUUAGAGCGCACCCCUGAUAAGGGUGAGGUCCCUGGUUCGAGUCCAGGAUGGCCCACCUGCACAGGUGGCAAAAACAAGAGAAGCGAGGAAUCAGCACCUUAUCUUAUCUAUAUAUAAGAGAGAAUGCUGGCUCUGAGUAAAGAGUCCAGAGGAACCUUGAAAACUGCAUAGAGCUAGGUGAAAAAGCCAAAAAAGAAGACCGCAA